rnacentral:misc_RNA from 1 species
ACACCUCAACCCUCGUGGUUUGCCACGAUCGGCUUGGACUUUGGAGGUUUUGCUGGCUCUCCUGUGGGUCAGCUCCUCUCAAACGAAUCAGCUUACCAGUGUUUGGUGGCGUCGCGGGUGUGAUAACUAUCUACGCUUGUGGCCGCCUGCCAUGCAACCUUCAGCGAUGGGGGUUCGCUGGAGCUUACAGGUGUCUCUCCUGAGUGAAGACAGCUCUUUGAAC